rnacentral:lncRNA from 1 species
GGGACUAUUGCCAUCCAAAUCUGGCUAGAUUAUUGGCUGCUGAUGCAGCUAAUGUUUCUUUCCCAGACAUGCCUAACCUUUCAUCUUAACCUUUCCCAGUUUUCUUUCUACCUUACCAGGAUCCCAAGGUUACUCUUUCGUGUUUCAUUGGUACGUCCUCUUUUGGAUUUACCUUUCCCAGUUUUCUUUCUACCUUAUCAAGAUCCUAAGGUUACUCUUUCGUGUUUCAUUGGCGCGUCCUCUUUUGGAUUUCCAUCUGGCUUAAUUGGUUGCAGCUAUGUUGGUGUGCUCCUACUAUGUGCUAGCCUAUCCGUUGCUAUGUUUCAACUGUCAGAGGACAUGUUACUUUCACUGUUACACUCAGAUGUUGUUUUCCUUUUCCUAUUACUGGUUUUCUUUCAGAUUGUUCAUCCUACAUUACCAUGCUUCCGGGUUUCCAGUUAAGGCUGCGGCUGCCAUACACUUCUUUUGUUUAUUCUUAUCUCUUCAGGGC